AACAUCUAUCUUGUCGGUUCUAUCCUCCCCGUUCCCGCCUGUUCCCAGAAAGGACAAGUCCAGCACUGACACCAUGGAGCCUCGCGCUACCGAAGGUGAACGGACAGAGAAGCGUAGACAUGACACCGACACGGCAGCUGUAGGUGAUGAGAUGGGUGAGCAUUGCGGGGAUUCUCCACCUAGAUCUACAUCAGGAGAGUUUUCAGAUGAAGAGGUAUUCGUCUCUCGCUCAUAUAAUGAUAGAGGUGAAGUCUUUGACAGCGUUGCUUUUCUACAGAUAUCGACCAAAAGAGAGCAGCACUUGAGACUCGGACCAGCGAACCUCGAUGACACGUUGCCAUUCGAUUCUCUAGACUCAGACCGCACCCAGAUGGAGGUAGAGGAAUCUAUCGAGGUCUUUCACCCAGAAUCUCUCUUGCUCAAGUAUUGUAAUGUUGUCAGACCGUCUGUCGGUUAAAAAUAUGUUUUUAAAGUCAAUGGCUCCGUUGUCAUGAGAAUAAAAUUUAUUAUUUCCUCUGGACCUUGCGGUAACAUCAUGAGACCUUGAGAACACGUUUUGGGGGUUUGGCUAAUAAGCAUGAUUGAGAUGUCACAGUAAAUGCAUUUAUCAUAGUUACGCAUCUACUUUAACUAGGAUUAGUCUCUUCCUGAGGGCGUUCACAUUGGUGGAAUACAAGUUACUACCCUGAGCCACGAUAGAGAAGACAAAUUAUUUUCUCAAGUUUGGGGAGAUUAAAACUGUCAACAUGGAUGGUUGCAAAUAAAUGUUU